UACCUUUGUCAAAAACAAUAACUUUCUCGGUCCACUUGGGAGGCUAGACAAUGCUAUACCGUUUAAGAUAUACAAAGUCAUCCUGCUUGGAUAUAGCUAUAGAGUUUUUAUUCAAUUGCAAAAAUCUAUGCACAUGCUAAGAUUGAGGAUUAUCCAAAUGUUAGCAACCAUAUUUUCAUUAGAGGAGGAAAAUACAUUUACGUUUUGAAGACCCCGAAGCGAGGCCCAUAUGUCGGGCUCUCCUCUGUGCUGAUAGCCCAAAUAAAGGCUUUUACAGCGAAGCCGGGCGGGGGCCUUGGAGGCCGAAAAUGUCGCUCACAGGCGCUGGGCGUCUCGAAGUGUUAGUGUGCGUGAAUUGUUCAAAAUAGAGAAUCUACCGUAUGUUCGGAAAAAGUAGAGCUCGUGAGAAGAACAUACAAAAAAAUCAACUGCUCUCUCUCGGUUACCUACUAGGCAGCAACACAGCUUCGAUGUACAAUAGUGUUCUUGAAAUGGCGCCGAGAAUAUUUAACAUACCUACACAUAUCACAGAACUUAAGUUGACGUGUUUUAAAAAGAAACUAUUUAAUGUGCUAGUGACAAAAUCGUACUAUUCCAAGACUUCUUUUCAGAUACAACACUCAAUUAACAUUUUUUUAAAUAUCAUUUUACUUAAUUUAAUUUCUUUUUACCAAUUUCACUUGUUACCUAUAUGUUAUUUCUAAAUACCUAUUCAAUUAUUGAUAUGUAUAUCAAUGAACUGCCGUUGUGUAUAUAUAUAUAUAUAUAUAUAUUUGUUUGACUUGUUAUUAAUUACUAUUUGUACGCCACAGCAUGCGGGCAAGGAAUGGAGAACUUUUAUUGUGAUUUGAAACAUCUAUGUAUACCCAUGACUACAAAUAAAUGAUCUUAUCUUAUCUUAGGUAUUUCCUCAUAGAAAUCAAACUUCAUAUUAUUUAGUCUGGUAGGUAGGUAGGUACGUGCGAUAUUAAACCGUCAUGCUUGUUAAUUUUAUAAUUAUAGCUUGCACCAGUCAGGUUAUUACUAAGUAGGUACGGAGUAUUCUAAGUAGGUAGGUAUGCCAACUACUUUAUGAAGCACAUUAUUGUAACAAUACUAAUUUUAUCUUAAUUCAUUUACCCACCGAUUUUUGUUAAUAUAAUAUAA